GGACCUGUAGCUUAGUUGGUUGGAGCUCCCGGCUCAUAACCGGGCGGUCGUGGGUUCAAGUCCCUCCGGGUCCA
rnacentral:tRNA from 2 species